GCGGAAGUGGCGGAAUGGCAGACGCGCUGGAUUCAGGAUCCAGUGGGGAUAACCCCAUGCGGGUUCGACUCCCGCCUUCCGCACCA
rnacentral:tRNA from 1 species